UACAGAGGUCUCGAGCGUUGUUCGGAUUUAUUGGGCGUAAAGGGUGCGUAGGCGGUAUGGCAAGUCAAGUGUGAAAUCUCGGAGCUCAACUUCGAAACUGCACUUGAUACUACUAUGCUAGAGGGUUGUAGAGGAGACCGGAAUUCACGGUGUAGCAGUGAAAUGCGUAGAUAUCGUGAGGAAGACCAGUUGCGAAAGCGGGUCUCUGGGCAAUUCCUGACGCUGAGGCACGAAGGUCAGGGGAGCAAACGGG
rnacentral:rRNA from 1 species